rnacentral:lncRNA from 1 species
AGGUCUCCUAAGCUUGACUCCUCUUCGGCAUGAGACUAAGGAAGCUCCCCAAGUUCCAGUCAGAGCAGGCUUAUGGAAGAGUCUUGCCCUAACAGAAAAACAGGGAUGAGGCUGGGAAGAGGAUAAAGUUAUAGCAGGAUAAAGUUAUAAGAAGAUAACAAAGCAGGAUGACAUCACAUGGGACCAAGAAGGGGGCUGCAUCAUCCCUGGACCUGCUCCUGGGGGCUGUCGGAUUGUGGGCGUGGCCGCUUUGGAUGCCCAGGUGAGCCCUGACACAGAGGUGCUUCCUCACAUUACAGUGAGGAGAGGAUGGGGCCAGUACAAAGACUGAAGAACCAGCACUCCUCCUGGGUCCGUCUUUGCUAAGUUGAGUCAUCCCAGCCCAGGCUCAGAUGAUGGGCACUGUGGACGGAGAGAGACCUGUCUUCCAGCAGGCUUCUGUGUGCGUGGCUGCUGCAGUUUCUGAGGGCUGACCCAGUUUUCUCAUCUCUGGACUUUAUACCUUCUUUGUCCCUAAAUAGACCACAACACCACUCUGUGUUCUCUGCAAGCCUGGGGCUAGGAAGCAUCGCUGAGGUAAAGGCCUUUUUUAAGGUUCUCUGCCAAUAACAAACACGUCUUCAAUUAUGAGAGCAGUACUCCAUGAUCCUGAAUCUCUGCCAACCAAAAGAAAGCUGUGCACACACUGCUGAACUUUUACAACUCUACAACUCAGAGGACAUAAGGCAUGUGUAAGCCAGCUGUAAAUCUCGUUGACAGUCUUGCCCCACCCACUGGCCACUAGGCAGCUGGAUUUCCAAUUUCACCCCGGACACGGCCAGCCUAUCAACCCUCUCUGCUUAAUGCUCUCAGUUCAUUUCUCAUCAUUUUUCUACCUCCACUCACCAGGCCACUUACCCUCCCUUCCUCCUUCCAGCUUCCUGAGCCCUACAGAGAUAACAACUAGCAGAGUGCACCAGCACGUACAUUGGAUUAUCCUUUUCAUUGUGUCUGAGCCAAUCUGCUUAAUGUUCAGAUACACGUGGGGAAAAAAAGGCAAAAUAUUUUUGUUUUAGAUCCUUUCAGAAGGCACAAAAAAAUAAAGUACAAACACGAAUCACUUGACAAUUUUAUGAUUAAAACCAACAAAUGGAAAACAGACAGUGUUGGGUGUUGCUGACAUAAUCAAGCAUUUCGUGCGGACCCACUCAACCACCCCAUUUCUUGGAUCUAUUUCUGGAUGUACCAAAUGUGUCUGAAGAUGAACUCACUUUCGCACAUCAAAGAUGUAUCCAGUGUUAAACACCGGAGCCAGAACCCAGGUGAAAAUCUGCUGGUUCAGGGCAACACCACUUCCGGCUUUAUUAAACACUCAAAAGUCAGGUUCCCAAGAAACGCUUGGAUCUAUGCGCAAGUAUAACAUGUCAAAACUGUUAAAUGUGACCAUGAGAAAAAUGACAUGAGCAUGUUUCAUCUUUGGGUAGAGGGUGGUGGUUUUCUGGGAAGACACUGUCUGAGACACCGAGUAGAGAAGUCAAAUGGAAGACGUUUAGCAUGUGCUUAAUUCUUGCUUGAUAAGAACAAGAAAUCCCGGAAAAGGUCACCCACAGAACGGUAAGCAAAGUCCCCAGUGAACAAGUUUGAGGUGGGGCUUAGCAGUUUGUUUACAGUUGUGGAAAACUGUUUUAGUCACUUGGCCAAAAACCAUAUGAGGGGAGGCAACCUGAAACCCUAGACUACUUGACUCUCCCUGCAUUUUUCUGCUAGAAGCAGGAUAAAAGGCCUAAAAUUUUGGCUGCAUCUCUAUUUAUGUAACAGCCACAGCUGCUCCCCAAAAUAGCUGCUGUUGGCCAAAAGAAUUACGGGAUUUUGUUGCUAAUAUGUGAAUCUAUAGUCAAUAGCACUCUGCUAAGUUUCCUUCCCUUCCCUUUUGCCGUCCCAGGUCUAAAAGGAGAUAGGGAAUCUCAUUAUUUGCACAUCAAUGGUGCCAUCAGUUGGAUGUGGAUAGAUUUUAAAAUCGAGGCUCAUCUUUUCGGCAAGAGCAAAUUGACAUAGAACAUCUUAACUCUCCACCUUCUGCAGGCGGCAGUGUGGCUAAUAUUGAGGCCCUUCAAAGUCACAACUCCAAAAGAGAGGAACAUACAGUGCUCCUGUGAUUUUGUGGGACAAACCCAGACCCGGACUGCUGGCGUGGCAUUUAAUAGGAUGCCCUCCCCUGAAAGUAACAAAGAGAACCCUCGUCAAAGCUAUCAAACACAUUAAAAAAAUACAAAAGUUAUUUUCUCCUUUUGAUUGCUAUUUACUUGUGACAAUAUUUGUUAAAAAUAUCACUUCUGUCUUUGAGAAGAGAUCAUUCUCUUCAUAUAGUAUGGAAAAAUAAACUCUGCUGAACACUCAGUCAACAUUCCCCACCACUGCCAGGGGCUUUUGGCUUUCACAUCUCCAAAUACCAUCAUCAGCAUAAAAGUAUUAUGUUUUUGAGUAGGCAAACACUUUUGCUAUGUCUAGUGUGCUGGAAGUAAGAGAAAAAGGAAGUGGCAAGGCUCAUGUAGCAUUUUGAAGGGGGAGAGUUACAAAAUAGGAUGGUUUAUUUGCUAACAAAAUGAAAGGUAACAAGGUGGUUUCAGGCCUUCCUAAAAAGUCAUAGGAUGUCCCCUCACCUCUUAGACCACUUUCAGCCUUGCUAAUGCUUGGUAGAUUCUUAAUGGAAGGGUAGGGAGCCCUAUAGGCUAAUUAUCAGUGUCAAUGCAAAGGAGGGCUCAACUUCUGCACCCAGGAUCAUCUUAAAACACUGAGCUGGAUGAAUGGGAGAAGACAAGGAUCCAUAAAAACAGUAAAAUGUUUAUUUUCUUAGAAAAAAAAGUGAGGAAGAGGGAUUCAAAAUGAUUGUGAUCACACUUCCAUCUGCAUCUGAGCAAAGCCAAUGUUGCAAGCUUAAUUCUUGAUUAAGAUACCUAUUAAAUCAAACAACCUGCCACUCACUCCUACGUCACUUCCAGGAGUCACAUCACAGCAUGCUUUUAAUUGAUAAUAGCUUCUCUACUUCUUCUGAGCAGAGAAACAAGGCUUGGCAUAGCAACCAUCCCAUCUCCAAAGCUCAACACUGCCAGUGAGAAGCAAGGCUCAGUCCAUCUCUAGACUGCGUGCGAGAGAUGGGGAGGAAGGAGAGAGGGCAGGAGAUGCUUGUCUUAGAAGCAGAACCAGUUUAGAAGAGAAGUUUGUUAUCUGAGUUCACCACUACCUCAUCUUAUAGAAAAUAGGUUGGAGAGCAUCUGUAAAACCAACAGUAUCUUUAAGGUGAAAUUGCAGAAUUUUGCUGCAUACCUGGACACAAGAGAAGUGAAAAGUUGCAACAAGUUUUAACUAGCAGCAACAAAGAAAGUUCGAUAACAGUUUUUUUUGUUUGUUUUUAGCAAUAUUCCUUUGCAAGUUCAUUAAGAAACACUGUAAUUUAAUGGGGCGUACAAUAUGGAACGAUCUUCUUUUGCUAUAGUGCUGUUCGCUGAAUAGAACCGACCUUUGCAAAGAUUUCAACUGGGGUGUAACCUAUUUACACAGUAGUAGCUCCUGGUUUGAGUGGUAAAAUUGGUGCUAUGUGAUAUCCUCUUCUUCCGAACAGUAAUCCCGACCCUUGGAGGGAAAAAGAAAAAAGAGCAUGUGAAUGAGAAAUUCAAAGCAGAGCCUGAAAUAGUUACUUGUAAUCAAUUUUCUCUCAAUAUAUGUCUCCUUGCAACAGAAUCCAGGCUUUGUCAGUGAUAGCUGGCACAGGGGUAGCUACGUCAUAAAUACAUGUUAGCCAAUUUAUAAGCUAUAUAUACUUCAAGGCAUGACAGUUUUACCAAGCCCCAAAUAAGCCCUUACUUUAUGUUGGUAAGAAUUUAUAUUAUAACAGCCAUAUUCAAGAGUCAGCCUUUCACUAAGAAAUUACCAAAUGGCCAAUCCAUUCAGGAGAUCAAUUUCUUAUCAGGAAGAAUGAACAAGCCACAUUCUACAGCUACAUCCCCGUGCCUGAAAAUCAACAUUCUACAGACAGCAUACAAUCCAGGGAUGUCUGAGUUUAAUUCACUCUAAAACGGAUUACAAAAAACAACAAACAAGAAUCCUUAAACACGCAUAACAGGUCUGUGCUUGGUAUGUGUGGGAUGCACAAGAAAGGCAAAGAUGCUUCUGAUUCAUUUGCUAACUAAAACAGGUUAUCUGAAGCUCUAAGGACUAUGUACAAUGGUUAUUUGUGAACAUAUUUUAUCCUCUCUCCUCUAGGUCAUAAACUCAAUGAAGACAUGAUUGGGGCUGGGCUUUAAGGAUCCACAUUUAACCGAGCUGGCUUGUCUUGGUCAAAACACAUGACUCUCUUGGUCUGUAACCCAUCACAGGGCACCUGCCCUGCCUGUGUCCGAUGUCAUAGAUAAGGGUUUUGUAAAAAGUCAGGUGUUAUUAUUAUUUGUUUCCUUCAACUUUUUCUUUUUCUUUUAAAAUACACACUACAUGUUUCAUUUUUCUUGGGGGGGGGGAAUGUUCUUUUAAAAGCAGAACUUAUUUCUAAAAGUACCAAUACUUAACGAUACUAAUAAUAAUUUUGCAUAUAACUAUUUCUCAGAUGUAUUACAUGUUUUUUGGUCACAUUAUCUAUAUAACAGAAAUAUUUUACAUUUUCCUAAUAUUUAAGCAUUAUCAAAAUGGAUUAUUUUGUGCCACGUGGCUGGGUGCUAAUCUUGACUCUGUGACUUCCUAGCUCUGGGAUCCUGGUAAAAUUACCUCUCUGUGUCUCAGUUUCUUCAUCUGUAAAAUGAAGAGAACAAUAGUACCUAUUUCACAGAAUAGUUGAAGAUUAAAUGAGUUAAUAGUAAUAAAGUGAUUAAAUCAUUUCUGGCACAUACUUUUACACAUGAUGUAUAUGUGCCCAUGCCCGUGUGUGUUUGGCAAAUUACAAAAUACUGCUGGCUGGACACGGUGGCUCACGCCUGUAAUCCCGCACUUUGGGAGGCCGAGGCAGGUGGAUCACCUGAGGUCAGGAAUUUGAGGCCAGCCUGACC